UACGUAGGGUGCAAGCGUUGUCCGGAAUUAUUGGGCGUAAAGAGCUUGUAGGCGGUUUGUCGCGUCUGCUGUGAAAUUUCGGGGCUCAACCCCGAACUUGCAGUGGGUACGGGCAGACUAGAGUGUGGUAGGGGAGACUGGAAUUCCUGGUGUAGCGGUGAAAUGCGCAGAUAUCAGGAAGAACACCCGUGGCGAAGGCGGCAUCCUGGACCAAUUCUGACGCUGAGUGAGCGAAAGCCAGGGGAGCAAACGGG
rnacentral:rRNA from 1 species